GCUUGUCUCAAAGAUUAAGCCAUGCACGUCUGAGAAUAAAGAGUUUUCUCUGAAUCUGCGAAUGGCUCAUUAUAUCAGUUAUAGUUUAUUUGAUAGUCCUUUACUACUUGGAUAACCGUAGUAAUUCUAGAGCUAAUACAUGCAUCAACUCCCAACUGCUUGUCGGACGGGAUGUAUUUAUUAGAUUGAAACCAAUGCGGGGCAACCCGGAAUAUGGUGAAUCAUAAUAACUGUCGUAUCGAGCAAUCGAAGCGCCAUACAAGUUUCUGCCCUAUCAGCUUUGGAUGGUAGGGUAUUGGCCUACCAUGGCUUUAACGGGUAACGGAGAAUUAGGGUUCGAUUCCGGAGAGGGAGCCUGAGAAACGGCUACCACAUCCAAGGAAGGCAGCAGG
rnacentral:rRNA from 1 species